CGCGUCAUCAGCGUUUCUGUGGGCGACGAUCGGAUCAGAAACGCGCGCGGCGGGGGAGGGCGGUGCGGGACGAGGCCCGCAGCUCUUACUGGACGCCCGCCGUCAAAUCACAGCCUGGAUUACCAUGUAUCCACGCGGCGCCAGAGGCCCAAACAACAUCGCGCUUCGCCUCGCGCUUGGCCGCUGCAGCACCACGGAGGCCAAAAGUGGAGGACAGCGAGUACAAAAGAGGCAACCGGAGACAAGGUGUCGAGGGGUCGAUGCCUCUGUAUGCGAACUGGUGCUGUGGAAGGUGGGCAGGUGUUGACGGGUGGUCUUCAGAUACAGGGAUGAGACUCGUGUUCAUGACACGCCUGUACAGAUUUAAAAGUUUUAUAUUUACCCCGUGUUUAUUGCUGUAGUGCCGGAGCACAGCUAGCAUACACAAAUAUACUUAGCAGCGCUUCUCUCCCCGCGGACACAUAUUGAGCAGAACCAAAACAAGUGGUGGUGCUGGUGAAAGCCCCGAGGCAGCGCCAGACAAACAAGGAGAGCGGCGUCUGCGGCAUACUGAGCGGGCCUUGGGCCUGGGCCCGGGCUCGCGUCUAAUUAUUAACAAUAAAUAUCUGAGGCGGUGUGAUGUGGUGGACGGC
rnacentral:lncRNA from 1 species